rnacentral:rRNA from 1 species
GACGAACGCUGGCGGCGUGCUUAACACAUGCAAGUCGAACGGAAAGGCCCUGCUUUUGUGGGGUGCUCGAGUGGCGAACGGGUGAGUAAAACGCGUGUAAACUCCCCUUGACUUUGGGAUAACUUCAGGAGACUGGGGCUCAUACCGGAUAGGAGCUCCUGCUGCAUGGUGGGGGUUGGAAAGUUUCGGCGGUUGGGGAUGGACUCGAGGCUUAUCCGCUUGUUGGUGGGGUAGUGGCUUACCAAGUCUUCGAAGGGUAGCCGGCCUGAGAGGGGGACCGGCCACAAUGGGACUGCGAGACGGCCCAGACGCCUACGGGAGGCAGCGGUGGGGAAUAUUGCACAAUGGGCGGAAGUCUGAUGCAGCAACGCCGCGUGCGUGAUGACGUCCUUCGGGUUGUAAACCGCUGUCGCCUGUGACGAAGCGGUAGUGACGGUAAUGGGUAAAGAAGCACCGGCUAACUACGUG